GAGGCGAGGCGAGGCCAGGCCGGGCGCUGCCCCCCGUUGUCGCCGCUGCUCCGUGAGGGGAGCUGCUGGCGGGGCCGCCGGGCACGCCGCGGGCGGCAGUCGGCCUGCGUCCCCUCAAACCCCUCCUGAGGCACCGCCUUGGAGCUGCACGCACCUGGUACAAAAGAAAGAGCGGUCUUGUCAACAACCACCGCUUGCUUGUGAAAAAAACAACUUUUUAGAGCAGGGUGGAAGGCCAGCGAGUAUUUCCAAUAGCGUGACAGCGGGUGCGCGGUCCUGUGCGGAGAAGGGCGUUGUGGAACCCCCCCCCCCGCCCCCCCCAGAGCUGUUCAGGCACGAGAAGUUUCAACCAGCCCGGCUGCCAUCGACUUUCGCUGCCCACGACUGUAAAUCCUAGGAGUAAAAUCAUUUGAGUGAAAAGAGAGCGUCACGCCCGGUGUGACGCUCUGCCACAGUUUGCAUUUUUAGCCCGAAAACAAAUGCUUAAAGCAGCAGUUAGUUAGCACUCGGCAGACCUUCCCCAGCAUCCGUACGAUCAGAGCUGCACGACGUGAUAGCUCCCAACCUGUCAGCAUCGCUUCACCAUGCAGACACAGCCGGCGUGUGCUGAGAAUUCAAAUCCAGCCCGGGCACGAGCAACGCAAAAAGUUUACUCAAAGUCAGUUAAUUACAGCUGUGCAGAUCCCACAGCCUUCAGGGGACGUGUGGAGGCAGUGGUGAGGGCACUGAGGAGCAGCAGGCAGCCUGCGGGACCUGUGCCAGUACCUGCAAUACGUUUUCUUUCAAGGAGGCGACAUAAAGGAGUGUGCUUUGGCAUGCGAAGAACAGCAGUGGCUUUGGAAGGGACUUUGCGGUCAGCCUCGUACCCAGAGCUCUCCACCUGCCCUGGUAGGUGGCACAGGCGGCGUGCACACAACACUGUCCUAAAACUACAGCACGCCUCACCAGGCCAGCACAUCUUGGCGCACCCAUAAUAAAGUUUUAACAACUCUGGGGAUUUUGUUAGAGAGCUGGAGCUCUCACUCACCGGACUCACUCACUGUCUGCCGCUGGGGUGAGGAGGGGAGGAAACGCUGAAGCGACCUGCACAAGGCCCCCUCCUGCUGCCGCCCAGCCCCAAGGCUGCAGCUGCUCCCUCACACAGAAGAGGACCCAGUUUGGCACUACCGAGUAGUUCGCCACUGAUUUAAAUGGAAGCAGUGACGACCUGGGUAUUCUGUUCCCCUCGAUCUGUAGCCCCUGAAGAGCCCUCCUUUUAAAAAUUGGUUUGUUAGCAUCACAUCCCGUGGGAAAAGCAUUGUUACACUUGCCACCUGGUAGGAAUGUUCUGGGGUGUAUUUACCGAGAUUGUACCUAAGAACAAAGUCUGCAGAGGAGUAAUAGAGAUGUAAGAUGCUAUCCUCUGGUCUGCUCGUUGUCUUUCAGUUGGUUUCUUGCCUUGUCCCCUAAGCCUCAUGGCUCUUUAAAUCCCACAGGCAGUUUCUACUGCUUCACUCUCCGUGUUAAGUUUCCUUCCUGGGAUUUAGGGCUGGUUUCCAGUGUUUAGAUCUUCAUCUUGGCCCCUGUCCUUGUGCCCCCUCACUUUUGAUACCAAGCGCAGAGCGCAGUGGCCCGCUACCCACUGUGGUCUUCCUUUGAUCCAUCACCUUGUCUGAGGGUCUGGUACAAAAUUGCUUCUAAUUACCAGACAUUUAUUCUUCAAACCUUAACUAAUUCACUAAUCAUAUGUUGAUAAAUGAGAUUUUAAAAUUAAUUACUGACAUUUAUAAAGAUUUAUACACAACUGUAAAGAAAGGUUUCCAGUUUGUAAAUACAAUAUUGUGUGAAGGAAAAAAAACAUAAAUUAAAGCUGUCCAGUAUUAAUGGGAAAUAGUAAAAAUGAAGACGCGGUGAAAUGUUACCUGAAUAGGGGUAGCAUCUCAUCACAGUUACUGUCUUCGUGCAACAGACCCCCUUGACAGCAGGAAAACAGCUCCGUAGAAGCCUUGUCAUGUGCAGAAUUUAAUUUAGCUUCUAAUGUGUAAUUGCUGGGAGUGCCUGGAGCAGGCGGGGAGCAGCCAGCGGCUGCGUUACUGAGCGCCUUCCCAGUUCCUCUUAUUUGCAACGCAACAUUUACUCCUUGGAAGACGGUGAGGCAGAUUUCUACCACUUGCUCAGUAAGAUAAAUUCAAUUGUUCUAUCUAAUUUAAAAGUCAUCAAUAAAAAGUUGGAAGACUGACUACCAAGCUUUCUUAAGCUUUCUAGUUAAAAUUAAUGUUUGUGUAAGUGACAGCUACUUCGACGUAACAUCAAGCCUAUCACCAAGUACAGAACUGGCAUUGCACGUUACCAGCAUUUUGAUGCCACUGUUGUUCAUUACUAAUGGCAAAGUCGUUUAAACCUAACAUUAUCCAGCACUGUACAGGCACAGAGGGAGGCAGAAUCCCUGCGCCAAGUACAGCAGCCACGAGCAACCUUUGCAAACCAGACGUGUUCGGCGCCCUGCUCGGAUUUGCGCCAGUCUGUAGAUUUCUGCGGCAAUAAAAUCUUUUUUCCCUUUUAAGCUGUCAAGAUAUUUUUUCUUUUAUCUGCAGGGUGCAGACGAGCAAAGUAACAGUUACAGGGAGAAACCUGCUCGUUGAAUUUGAUGAUCAUUGCCAAGGAAAGCAAGAUAUGUGCACCAUAUCCACCAUUCUUUCUGUUUUAAAUCACAACCACAACAUUAUAAAAUCACUUCUGGCAUCCUGUCCUGAUCAGUAGGCAUUGCACUCUAUCUCCUAACAACUUUACAGUGGGUGACGUACAUCUGUGAAGGGAAAAAUGGGCUUAACAGGACUGCUUCUGGCUCUCUGGGUCAUGAGAAAUGUUUAACAGACUAAGUGACAUCAGCAACCUUUAGGAGUAGAUUUUUUUUUGGUUACCCCAGAAGUGAAUACCCCAAGAUCUAAAGGGAAGCAGCACAGGAACAUGAUCCUAAUUUCAAGACUGAACUAAACAUCUUAAACUUAACAUCUAAACUAUUUGCUGUGUUUAGAUUGCUGCUAUGAGACAUCAUGCCAUUUUUGACUGACUGACUUUGACAGCAUCAAAGGAAAAAAGCUCACUCUUCUCUAUGCUGCCUGAGCAAACCCCUUUUCAAAAUAAUUCUUAAAGACUUCCACAUUACGGCUCCCACUUAAUGGGAUUUCCAAGGCAUCUACACAAAUGUGAUGAGAAAUAUAUCAAGAAGAGAUAAUAUGGAUAGUAGAACUAUCUAUGGAUCUUGAGAAAAUCCUAUGAUCUUAAUCUUUGAUGUAAUUUCCUUUAAAAAGAAAGCCUGCAUCCGAAUUCCUCUUCAUAGCCAGCUUUUCCCAUGCAACGGAUGAAAACAGCAACACCUUACAAGAAUACCCACCUUUGCCCCCUCUUUGCUCUAACACUGCUGACGCUGGAGCACCAAGGAUGCUGGGCUGGCUGGAUCUGAAGUAUGCCUUCUUUUGCUCUGCAUUAGGUGGCUACCUGCAGCUUCUCAGAUAGGUAAUUCUUCCCUGUCGUCCAGUUCAAAGGUUGUUUUCAUAUCAAGAACAACCUCAUUCCCAUUUUUUCCCCCAUGCUUUCACCUUCAGUCCAUUUGAUUUUAAGAGUGCUGUAAGGGUGAAAUUAAAGGUGAUUGUCAUGCAUAGGAAUUAAUGAGGCAGAAUCCUAAAAUGAUCUAAAUGUUUUGGGUCUCUCUAUUCAAUAAGCAUCACCCAAACUCCUCGAAUACUUUCAAACGUGAAUGUAAAAGUACUUCCAAUACUACAGCCCUGCAGAGGAAAGAUGGCUCUUUCUAAGAGCAGGAGCUGGAAAAGCAUUGGAAAACAAAGUGUGCUAUAUGGAAAGAAAAAACCCUGAGCUACCCAAAUUUCUUUUGUAAUUGCUAUUGCAUAGAUUGCUAGAUGUGACCAAAACUAGGUGAGACUUACCUCCCAUUAAGAUAUGAUCUUCCUGCGGGUGUGAGCACACGAACGAGGUGCUGGAGCUCUCACUGGGAAGGCGGUUGCGCAGCGUGUUGGUGCUUGGAGCCCAGAAGGACCGACGGUGGCACUCGGAGCUUCACUCCCACACCAGUUUCCAGGACUAUAAAAUGUAUCAGUUACUUGGACAACUCCAUACAACAUGAGGAAAGCGAGGUUGUUGUAAGAUGCAAGAACAGCUGGCUAUUGCCAUGACAAUCUGUGUGUUACCAGAAUUGCAAAAGAACGUGAGGAUUUCUGUUCCAAGGUGUCAAAGCAACGCACUAUGCUACAAGCAAGCCCCGUAACUAGCAUCCGUCCCUGUAAACAGAUCCACCUUGCUCUUUCAAAGGAGGUGGAGUUGUGCUAGAAGUCUGAUCCUUACAUCCAAGGUACGCCCCGUGGGGACCACUGCAACCAAGUAAUGCCCACCCCGGCACUGCAGGUGGCAGCUGAAUCAAGUUCAGCUCUGCAGCUGAAGCUCACCGGACCUUUGCACUGCAAUUGCAAAGCUCAUGUGGGUGGAAGGUGUGGUAUGGGGCUGGGACAGACCCCUCGGAGCUGAGGACUUUGACUCUCAUCAGCUGUUACUGCCAGGAGCCAAGAAAAUGCCAUGUGCCUGCUUUUUCUAACACAGUUUGCUUUGUACCUGAAAAAUCUUCACCAAAGAAGGAGAGAAACAGAGAUGAGAAGUGUGCCCAUACAGGCAGGGAAUAGGGAGGGAAAGGUAGGACCCCCCCCCCCCCUUUCCUAAUGCUGAAAUCCUGGUUCUUCCUCCACCCCAUCGCCUAUAAAUGACCUUCCAUUUCCCACACGGAGAUCCUGAGCCCUCAGUUCUCUCCAGCUCUGUCAUCCCCAGGCGCCUCUCCUCUGGCAUGCCAGGAGUUCUGACCCCAUACCUGGGUGAUGGUCGUGUUGAUUGGUGAGGAGAACUAAAACACACAGCAGGCACUAGCACUUCUGUUGGCAGGCCUAAAGAAGCUCAUCUCCCACCUUAGUUUGUGCCUUUCACGCUGUUGGGGCUGUUUUCUCUUCUGAACCCACUUUGGCAUUCACGUGGCUCACGAGGUGAAUCCUGAGGUUUUCCCUGAAUUCAGCAGCCGUUCGGUGUACUGCUGGGCUGGGAUGCUGACCACAGGCAGCAAGAGGUCACCGUGUGUUUACAGGCUCCUUGCAAAGGCAAUCCUGCCACCACAGUCACUUAGUUUUGCUCUUUGUUAGGAAAUUCCUAAACUGCAGCUGAGCUAACCCCAGGCAGGACAGAAUUCCUCACACAGGGGGUGGAGAGGAUGAGAUGCAGCUGGCUGGCUCCUCUUUACAGCUGUGCAUGUGGCAGUUUUAAUUUAAGCAAAAUCAGAGGUCAGCUUGCACAACUGGUCUUGUGAUCUGCAUAUCACUACACGAACCUCAGGCCUGUGGCUACAUCCAGGACGUGCUGCUAACAGGAAUUUUGGGCAAAGUAGGGUUGGUGGGGCAGAUGCUGCGAGCGUCUUGCGUUGAGACAGGGUAGCAUGAACCAGUAGAUGGAGAAAUUCAAACUGUGGAAAAAAACAGAUACAUUAACAAAAGCAGAACCCGCCCCAGUCACAACGAAGCACAAAACCACUGGCAGAUGAAAGACUGCAGCUCUGUCUUCAGUCAGCUCUGCUUCUAACGCGGGAGUACCCCCGUCAGUGGGCUCAAAUCACAGGCAGGGUAUGACUGCUGGGUCCAACCCCCAGCUCACAUUCACAAAUGCAUUUACAUAUAAUUUCAGGGAAAAAAAAAAGUAUUAUUUUUUCAUGCUGUGCAAGCAAAGCCUGCUAUUCAACUCCAGCAGCUAGUUCACAGCAGCAACACUUCCAGGAGUGUAUUUGAGAGGCUAAAUUUCAAUUUCGAUGUGUUUUAAAGCUUAUAUUCUCUAAGCAGUCAAGUAGGCAAAUUGUGCAAUGAAGGGGCUUGUACAACUAACUAAGAGGGAACAGUUUCCCCUUACCUCCUUUGGGAAUGAAGAACCAGAGGGAAAAGCCCCCUACCAGGAGAGGGACAGGUGAGCGUGGAGUCAGCGAAGGCAGCUUUCAGCUUCUCUUCAUACAGCAUCAGCCAAAUUAACGUUUUUGUCUGCUACUAGUUAACAGCGAGAUGUAGCCUGCCAGCUACGUCUGAAAGUUUGUCCGGCCCCUAGCAGGGGAAAGCCCGGCUGCCUGCACCAGGAGCAGAGGAAGGAAGGGAGUUUUCAGCAGCGCUGCCCAACGGGGGAUGCAGGCGCAGACUCGUGGGAGCUGCGCCUUUCCCCAGCCUCUCCAUCUUCCUCUCUCAAGCGCUUUUACAGCUCAAUGUGCUGUAAAAUGCAGGAUAUCAGCAAAAAUACCUACACAUUUUAUGAUAAUGUAAAGAAUGUACUUGCUCAAAACAUUUAGCAGUUACCACUAGAUGGCAUUUCGUUCCUGAGAAACUGGAAACCCACAGAUUUUGAAUUACUUGUUACAGACAGCAGGAAAUAGUAUAAAAUGGAAUUACCUCACUCCGUUAAUAAUUUAUUAUCCAUUGUCUUGUAUAAGCAAGACAUCACUAACACAAGAUAAUUUUACUUGCCAACUUAUAAAUCCCCUUUGUUUAACUAUAGAUUGCAACUCCUCUCUCCAGCCCCCUGCUCGGUAGGCAGGGAGCUGAGCUGCAGUCAGCACUUACCAGUCUUCUUCACAUUUUUAAAUGAAAGACAAAUGUAAGCCAGUUCACAGACUUGGAGUGUGCCAUGGACAACUGCCAGAAAUGCUUUGCUCCAGUAACUGUGCACUGUAUUUCCUGUGCUAUUUUUGGAUAAAUCCUCAAUACGACUGCAGUAGAAAAAGUAAUUCGCAUUCAGGACUAGAGCUGUUACGAGCCCCAGUUAUGGAUAUUAUACUUUGUGCCAGGACAUUUUAAUUUCAACAUGUACAAGCAAGCUGUGAUGUACACGAUGACAUUUCCAUUCUUUGUCUCCGCAUGGUACAACACACCAUACUCCGAGGUGCAAUCAAGUUCUACUUUGCACACCCUGGAGUUGUAUGGAGGCGUCUUGUUUAGCGUCUGCAAGCUGCUCAGUACUGGAUGAGAACAAAACAAGCAAGAGGAUUUCCCUUACUGUGCAGCAAAAUGGAAGACUGGGAGGUGAACUGUUAACUUCUACGGAGUAAGAGACUAGAGCACAGUUAAUUUUUACUUAUGGAAAGUCAAAACAGCUCCAAUAAACAUACUUACUUAAUUUUGUAUUUAUACAAAUCUACAUACGUGGAUAUUUUUUUCUCAUUAGAUGAUCGUAAGUACCACUGCUCCAAGUAUAUAGGAACCUGGUCAACAGUUCAUCAGAGCAAAAUUCACAAUCUGAGUAUCAAUGUAACACCCAGCACUUUUAUGAGAAAACGUGUGAAAACCAUCCAUGUAAGAAUGAUUAAAAAUACCAUUAUUUCCAUUUUCUAAGGAGUACUGCAGGGUCAAAAAUGGGAUUGCACACUGACAGGGUGAUCUGCAUUAGCAUAUUUGCAUACAAGAGGCACAACCUGUGCUACUUGCAGCUAAAUGCUGAAGACUGGAGACUUGCAUGUCUAGAGAAGCUGUUUUGAGAUGGCUCUUGCACCAUUACAGAGAUGACAAGACUAGAAAAUGUAUUUGCAUCCUAUUUAAGCUUCUUUGUUUAUGGUUUACUGCCCUGUGCCAGCUUUGUACACUUUUGUGAAAUACUUGCGCAGUGCUGCAGAUCAGUGGCACAGUACUUAGCUUGAACUAAAAGCUUUUUCUUGGUACACGUUGUGAGAUGGACAACUGAAAUUGUAGUUUUUUUUCCUUUUUUUUUUUUUAAGAAGUUAUUUUCAAGUUAUUGUUAUCCCUAGCACCUUGAUUCUGAUCAUUGUGAAACCAAACAAGAGGAUUCAGUAUGAAGGCCAGCACACUGACAGAGCUUUAGGAAGGUCAGAAAAACUUUGGAAAAGAUUCUCAGGAAGUCUUCACCCCUACCAUUGCAGUGCAGCACAAGCGCUGCUGGAGGAGAGCCAUUCGACGACGACGCAGAACCCGACGCAGAACCCGCAAAGGAAAGAAAUGCAGCACAUGACAGGAACAGGAGGGCUGCUGCUGGAAGCCCAGAACUAGCUAGGCUGCAAUGAGUUACCAGGCAAAAUUAGGAGAAAAAAAAAUAAUUUUCUGGAUACAAAGCAUUUCAAGCAAAAAGCAAUCCCCAAACCAAACUCUUUAUUGACUACAUAAAGCAUUGUAAAGACCAAAGCCUAGGUUCUCCACACUGUAAAGACCUGCUUAGGCAUGUCUUACAUCCUUCUGCUUACGCCCAUUGUCCCUCCCCAAGGCUGUGCAUCUGCCCCAUAGAAUUGCGUUCUGGUCAGCACAGUUCCUAGUCCCAUUUCUGCAGUUAACUUCAUUUUCCACGGGCAUUCUGAAAGAAAAGCCAGCCCAAAAAAUCCCCAGACAAAACCCAAAAGAUACUCCACAUAUGCUCUGUGAAAAACGAGUGAGGUUCCUGUGUAAUGUAAAGCUGCAUACCAACAUGCUUCAGAAACACUUAACUCUCAGGUGUUUUUUGAUAUAUACUUAAUGUAUCUAAAGUAUACGUCUCACACCAAUGUCUCCUGCUGUUAACAGCUCUUCAGCUCCGGUGGCAACAGCCACAGUAAUUGCUGCUUGCCACGGACAAGGGUCUGGAUGGCUGUGGCUAGAUCAGGCGAGUUCUCCAUACCUUUCAGGGUGGAGCCUUAUGGCAGCAUUCAGAGAACCCACGAACACUAGUAUCAAAGAUUUUUGAGCAGCUGAAGAUCUGAAUUGAGAACAUAUUCAGGAAAAAGCUUCCCUGUUAGGCUAAGCUACUGCAAGGUGCUAGGUAUGACAAUGACUUCAGAGGAACAAUUUCAGCCUUGGAAAGAUGCAAUGUUGGGUUACAAGAAAAAAAAAAAAGACACAUGAUCAGUAGGUCACAAUACACAGAAAUAGUCAUUUACACUCACAUUUCCUUUGACUAAAUUAUUGUUUACCAGCAAGACAGAAGCAUAGAUGGUGAUUAGCAGCCAGCUAAAUCAGAUUCUGCUCUCCUAUUUGGGAAAGCCUGAUUACAGAAGGUGCUUUAGUUUAAGUUAAAUAUUUUAAGAUAAUGAUGUACUACAAAAUUUUAAGUGUCUUUUUGGUUUAGUAAGUAUAUAUUUUUGUUGUUGUUGUUGUUUUUAAAUUUAGCUUAAUACUAUUAUUCUCAAGAAACAUGAGCUGGACUGAAAUAAAUCAGCAGACAUCAAAACAAAAGUUUACGUUCUCCGAAGCUGUGUGUUUAUGCCAGUUUAACUAUGUCAAAGUAGUGACGCUUUCUUAGGUAGACAAGAUCCACGGUAUCUUAAGCUCUUGGUGCCUGGCAUAUUUUAACAGCCAUUUCUGUUCUGUGGGUGUGUGUACCCUUAUCUGAUAGGUGAACACAUCAGGAAAAAAAAGUUGUAAUAAAUAUACUUGCAUAAUCACAAGACUUUUAUGAUUAAAUAUUAAAUCUCAGAUUAAAUUCUGCUAUAUGUAGUUUAUUUUAAAACUUAAGAACCUUCUCUCUCCUUUUCCCCCAAAAUGAAUAGGAAAAAAAAGUGCUUGGAAAAACAUGCACCAUUAUAAAAAUGAUUAACAGUAGACGGACAGAGACUUUGAGUAAGAUUUAAACUGGAUCAAGUUUACCUGUCUUGUUAUUCUACUGACAGCCAUGCAAUCAGAUUGCAACUAACCCCCCGCCUAGGAAAUGGGAAGCUCUGAAGGUAGUUGCACUUUGCACAAUUAUGAAGCCAUCAGCGUACAACCUGUGCUCCCUAGUAGUGCUCCUGACUUCUGCAGAACAUCUCUAACUUCUUGAAAUAAAGGUUGCCAUAAAAAGCAAAUAUAACCAGGGAGAAAGUGACAUACGAAACCAUGAAAUUCCACACUAAACACAUAUAUACAUUCUCCUGGGCUCACCAAACAGAAAAAUAUUUUGGAGAGGAAGCAAUUGAAGAACAAGAGAGGUCAUGAUCUUAAAUUUUGGGAGAAAAAAAAAGUCACAUUAAAAGCUGGAGUUAAAAGGACGAGAAACUUUUUUUUUUUUUUUUAAUAAAAAAACUUUUUUCAUGAUGGUGUCAUCUAGACCUACCCCUACACAGUGUUACAUAAGACAGGUUCAAUAAAUCAUACCUGUACCACUGUUGGCAGUGGUUAAAAAUAAAUGUAAAGAAAAUACUACUCUAAGGUAUCUUACACUUACUGCUCUGCAAUGUAAAUGAGUGCAGUUCAAAUUAUUUCUCCACUGAGGGAGGCAACAGGCAGCACAUAAAUGCAAACAACCUUCAUUAGACACAUUGUCAUGAGUAUAUUAAUCAUGUCAAGAAGCAUUGCUGGAGUUUCCUUCAGCAUAAUUUAACAUACCUUACUUUAUUAGGAUGCACUUAAUUUCACUAUGUUUUCCCCUCAUUAUCAUUUAUGAUGACCAAUUAAAAUGUUUGUGUCUGUCUCUAAGCAAAUUACUUCUGUAAUUCCAGUAGCUGAAAUCACCACUCAUCCAACACUUGUCAUCUAGUUCCAUCAGUGUAAUAUCUUCAUAUCUUUAUUUGCCCAGCCUAUAUUAGCAUUUUAAAGAGAAAAAGCUUACUUGGAUUGGAUAUUUACAUAAAAAAUGAUUUUUUUUUUUUUUUUUUUUUUUUACAGUGGGGACGGUUGGUUGUUUUCUUCCCCUGCUGCCCUGUUAUAUAGCCUUCAAGGUUUUUUCCUCAAAACGACAAGCAUAACUCAUAUAGUUAGGAAAAGAAAAUAAUGAAGGAACAGAGGCUUGGGCACUAUUCUUAUACUGAGCUUACAGUUGCAUGCAGUUUAAAUUUAAUUUCCUUUGGUCAAUACAUGCAAUAAUUGCAUGUACACAGCAACUUUACCUCCUUUUUCCCCCCAAAUCCUCCACAUCAGUCUAGCCAAGAGCUUUUCAAACGAUAACAGGAUAUAGCGCCUCAUAGAUCAUGCUUUCUACAUUCAUAAGGCCAAACUACUUUUAAUAUUCUAACAAACAUGAGGGCAUGGUUUCUUCUCAACCUUUCACAACAAAACUACGAGCAGUUCAUCUGACUGCAUCUGUAAUUUCCUAGCUUCAUCUAUAUUAAUUCGAGGUUAAGAUACUUUGAAAGUUAGCUGGAAAUGUUGAUUACACACAACACUUUUGCUGUGGCACUCACUGCAAUCAGAAAAGGCUGAGCAAAGACUGUGAUCACCAAGCUGUUUGUGAACUCCUUCUGUGGAUUACCUUAGGCUCCCGGACCUGAAGAUACAUGGCUAACUCCCCAGAAGGUGCUGGAUCUCAACUGCAGAGCAAUGGGAUUAGGCUUAAUUUCUAAAGAAUCGUACGUGUUUUUACACACAUAAUGUUAUUUUUUAUAUUAUAGUAAUGACUUCCAGAAAAAUGCUGAUAAUGGCAAUGAUGAAGAAAGAAGUCCGAAGACAGUGCUGCCUUUUAGAACAAUUAUAAUUUCAUUAAAAUAGGAACAUAACUUAAAGAUAGAUUUUAUUCUCUUCGAUGAUUUACUCAUGCAAACUGCACAUAAAAGAAAACAGUACAGUUUGUGAAACAUGUCCAAUGUAAAGACCCAAAAUGCUAAGUACAGAAGUAGUGUGACAUACGUCUCAAAACGGAAUCCAUGGUAGUACGACUAAUAACUUUUCUCUAUUUGCUGAACACAGGUUUUAAUGGUUCUUUUUCCAGCCCCACUGUUAAAGUCAUUAACUGUUUACAUGUCUCCUAUACACUUAUGUACUUAUUAUACAAGCGCGACAGCUUUGUUAUAAAAAAAACUCCACUUAUAUAAAUAUGGUUUAAAAAGCCUUUGUGUUUAGGAGAGCAAAUUAUAGCAUAAUCAAUGAGGCCUUAUCUAGUCCACCAAAACUACAAUGAAAAGUGACUGUAUAGCUUUCUUGCAGAAUUCACAUUUUGUGCCUUUGCAAUUAAUUUCCUUCUCACAAGAUGUCCAUUGUAUUUUACCAUCCCCAAAACACUCAAGAAGUGUUAUUUUUUUUUUCCUUGAAAUUGGGAACAUAAGACUUUAAAACACACAAGGUUAUCAACUCAACUUUGUUUUAAAAUACAAAAUAUUUAGAAUCCUUAUUAUUUGCAUGCUUAAAGCCCUGCAAUGAUACACAUAUGACCUAGAUAUUUCUUUGUCCAGUUUUCAUUAUAGCAUGGUUGUAUAUAUAUCGUGGAAAUUACGAUUUUUCCUGUGGAUCAAUUACAUUUUUUAGAUUUAAAAUUGAAUCAAAUAGAAAUUUGAUGGCACUGACACUUAAAAACACAUAGUAUAGUGUGGAGAAGGAAGAGCAAAUGAACUACACAACCCAUUAUAAAUGCAUUAAAUCUUUGUUAUAUACAUAAUGGAAUCCUGCUUUACUGCCAGUUGCUACUAUGCAUCUGUUUUUGCUAUUAUACAAAGAUUUCCGACCCGAAAGCACACAUCUAAUUUUUUUUAAACAACUUAAUCUAUUGUAAAAUAUUGUACUGUAUUUUGAACAUGAGUACAGAAUCAAAAUAGAUAAUGGCACAUUUAAAAAACUCAAUAUCCUACAGAUGAUUGGAUAAUGAGAAAAAGUGUACCUACAAUCAUUUCAUCAGAAACAAACUACAUCAUGGAAUGUUAGUUAUCCAAGUUCGCACAGUAAAUAACAUUUUAAAACUGCAAUCACCUAUCAGCCAGCAUCACAUUGAAGGCAUCUUUAAACAUUCAAGCAAAAGACUGCUGGCAUUAACUACUGAACCAUUCUCACGCACACACCACACACACCACAUUAUAAUUACAUUGUUUCCAAGAUACGGUAGAUACUGAUUUUUUUUUCCACAAGAAAGGUAUCAAAAUUUUUGCUACUAAAAGAUGACAGUGCUUACACAAGAAUUAAGUACAAGUUAGCUUGCAAAUACAAGACAAUGACAAAAAAAAGUCUUGAGUUGUCUGAAGAAGGAUUUUAGGCUUUUCUGGCAUCCAAAACCAUGAGUAAACUCAGUCUGCAACUCAAAAAUCCACAAAAUAUCAACCUACCUUGGAAUACUAAGUAUUCCGUAUUUGAUAACCCUGUAUUUUACAAUAUGCUUGCUUACUGGUUUCAGCCUAGCAACAAAGGGUAGUUACAGAUAUCUAGCUAACUGGAGAAAUAAAGCUCUCCUCCUCCCAUAAUGAAAGUGUUGGAGGAGGAAAAAUAACCUGACAUCAAUUUAAAAAAAAAAAGGAAAAAAAAUCUAUUUAGUAAUGAUCCUCACCUAGGAUAGGUAUGUGCAUAAGAGUACUGUAUCUCAUAUACUGUACUGGCCCUAUUAAACAAAUUAAAAACCCCAACGGUUAAAAAGUCAACCAAAAUGCUAUACAUAAAACAACCCAAACAUUUUUCUCCCAAUGUUCUUCCUCUCAUAAUGUGCAAAACAACAAAAAGGCAAAAAGAAUAAAAGCAAAUUUACUGUUACUGUCUUUCUCUUGCCUAGUGCUUUAUGACCUUGCUAGCAUUGCAAAGUCAAUAGGGACUAUGCAGAACUUUGGUAUAAAAUGUCACAUAAUAUUACUAUCACAGUCUGGGGGAUGACCUUUAGUAUUUCACCCCAAUGUUUGUUGAAAUAAUACCAAAUUAAAAAUGAAAUAAACCACAUUGUACUGUACACACACUUUACACAUUAAGCACAAAAAAUAACUAGUAAACCUAAUACUU